UUGAAGCUCAUCUUGAUGUAAUGGACUUGAAAACUUAUAGCCAUUAACACGGGUAUCAUCAUAAAAUCUCCAUCGUUCAUCAUUGUUUGACCACAAAGAUUCUUGCCGUAGAUCUGGGUAUGACCUGAAACUUCUCAGCCUGUUAAAGGUAUUGUAACUAGCCGUCCGAUCCUGAUACUGACCAUCAUCAUACCAUCUAUAAGCAGGAGUUGACGGAUAGGAUCUCUGAACAUCCUGCUGUACAUUUGAUGAAGAAGCUGAUGAUGAUGAUGAUAGUCUCUGAUAACUUGUACUGCUUUCAUUACUGGUGUUAGGGC
rnacentral:lncRNA from 1 species